CUGAAUAACUAUGCAGAUCGCACAGUCCUCGCACUGGCGACGUAUCUUUCAAAUGUCUGCCUUAUCAACUUUCGAUGGUAGCUUACACGACUACCAUGGUCAUAACGGGUGACGGAGAAUUAGGGUUCGACUCCGGAGAGGGAGCCUGAGAAACGGCUACCACAUCCAAGGAAGGCAGCAGGCGCGCAAAUUAUCCAAUCCCAGAACGGGGAGAUAGUGACGAAAAAUAACGAGACGGUUCUCUAAGAGGCCCGUCAUCGAAAUGGGUACAAUUUAAAUCCUUUAACGAGGAUCUAUUGGAGGGCAAGUCUGGUGCCAGCAGCCGCGGUAAUUCCAGCUCCAAAAGCGUAUAUUAAAGUUGUUGCGGUUAAAAAG
rnacentral:rRNA from 1 species